CUGGCUCAGAUUGAACGCUGGCGGCAGGCCUAACACAUGCAAGUCGAGCGGUAGAGAGAAGCUUGCUUCUCUUGAGAGCGGCGGACGGGUGAGUAAUGCCUAGGAAUCUGCCUGGUAGUGGGGGAUAACGUUCGGAAACGGACGCUAAUACCGCAUACGUCCUACGGGAGAAAGCAGGGGACCUUCGGGCCUUGCGCUAUCAGAUGAGCCUAGGUCGGAUUAGCUAGUUGGUGAGGUAAUGGCUCACCAAGGCGACGAUCCGUAACUGGUCUGAGAGGAUGAUCAGUCACACUGGAACUGAGACACGGUCCAGACUCCUACGGGAGGCAGCAGUGGGGAAUAUUGGACAAUGGGCGAAAGCCUGAUCCAGCCAUGCCGCGUGUGUGAAGAAGGUCUUCGGAUUGUAAAGCACUUUAAGUUGGGAGGAAGGGUUGUAGAUUAAUACUCUGCAAUUUUGACGUUACCGACAGAAUAAGCACCGGCUAACUCUGUGCCAGCAGCCGCGGUAAUACAGAGGGUGCAAGCGUUAAUC
rnacentral:rRNA from 1 species